CCGGCAUUAAUAAUUGGCUUGCUUGAAGAAGAAACAGCAAUAUCGA
rnacentral:antisense_RNA from 1 species